CAAGUCUUUAUAGAAGAAUCAACAAUCAUGCGGCUAUUCUUCUUUGCCACUAUCCUUGUGAUCGGUUUCCUGGCAUUGGCCCGUGAACCUGAUAUUUCUAUUCACACAUGCAAUUAUUGUAUCAAUCAUGGAUAGGUGUCCUGGGCUCUGCUGAAAAGCUAGCAAAUCUAAAUAUUUAAAAAUUCGAAAUGUCGCUUAAUUCAUUGAGGUGACUAAGUAUACACUAAUAAAUAUCGUCAAUAAUUGAA